rnacentral:lncRNA from 1 species
AGAGAAGGUAUGAGUAGGGAGUGGGUGCUUUUCACUUAUUUUCUCCGUCUAGAAAAUAAUGUAAUUGGAGCAAUACCAACCCAAACACUAAAUAGUAGUUUACAUACUCAAUAUGUCAUAUAUACAUUAUUAAUAUAAACUAUAUGUUGGAUGGGUGGUUUCUUCUAAAUAAAUCAUCAUUCAAUCCUCUCUUCUCUAUUCUUUCCACUCCCUCUCUCUUUCUUGAUUCUCAUGUAGACAUGUUUCCUUGCAUGAGAGUUUCUCUCACCUUAUUAAUUAUCUUGCCACAUCAGCUAUAGAAACCAUCAGAGUCAUCGUGUCGAUGUUGUUC